CGUAACGCACGGCUCAGUAACACGUAGUCAACCUGCCCUGGAGACGUGGACAACCCUGGGAAACUGGGGGUGAUCCACGAUAGAUGACCUCAUCUGGAAGGAGAGAUCGUCCAAAAGGCGGCGCGAGUAUGCUUCGCGUCUCCGCUCCAGGAUGGGACUGCGGCCGAUCAGGCUGUUGGCGGGGUAAUGGCCCACCAAACCUGUAACCGGUACGGGCUUUGAGAGAAGGAGCCCGGAGAUGGACACUGAGACAAGGGUCCAGGCCCUACGGGGCGCAUCAGGCGCGAAAACUUCGCAAUGCGCGAAAGCGUGACGAGGCUAGUCCGAGUGCCUUCCGCUGAGGAGGGCUUUUCUCGGCUGUAAAUAAGCCGGGGAAUAAGGGGAGGGCAAGUCUGGUGUCAGCCGCCGCGGUAAUACCAGCUCCUCGAGUGGUCGGGACGAUUAUUGGGCCUAAAGCACCCGUAGCCGGUUCAGUAAGUCCUCUGUCAAAUCCAACCGCUCAACGGUUGGCCCGCAGGGGAUACUGCUGGACUAGGAGGCGGGAGAGGCGGACGGUACUCCGCGUGUAGGGGUAAAAUCCUAUGAUCCGCGGAAGACCACCAGUGGCGAAGGCGGUCCGCCAGAACGCGCUCGACGGUGAGGGUGAAAGCUGGGGGAGCGAACCGGAUUAGAUACCCGGGUAGUCCCAGCCGUAAACGAUGCGAGCUAGAUGAUUCGAUCGCAGUUCGCGAUCGAAGUGUCGCAGGGAAGCCGUUAAGCUCGCCGCCUGGGGAGUACGGUCGCAAGGCUGAACUUAAACCA
rnacentral:rRNA from 1 species